UCUCCGUAGGUGAACCUGCGGAGGGAUCAUUACAGAGUUCAUGCCCUACCGGGUAGAUCUCCCACCCUAUGUUAUUAUUACUUUGUUGCUUUGGCGGGCCGUUAGGCUCCGGCCCGACUACCGGCCCCGGCUGGUAAGCGCCCGCCAGAGGACCCAAAACCCUGAAUAUUAGUGUCGUCUGAGUACUAUAUAAUAGUUAAAACUUUCAACAACGGAUCUCUUGGUUCUGGCAUCGAUGGAGAACGCAGC
rnacentral:misc_RNA from 1 species